AGCUCCAAUAGCGUAUAUUAAAGUUGUUGCGGUUAAAAAGCUCGUAGUUGGAUUUCUGUUGAGGAUGGGCGGUCCGCACUUCGUGCGUGUAUCUGUUUUGUCCUCGGCAUCCUUUCAGGAAACGUAACUGUGCUUAAUUGCAUGGUGCGGCACCUGAAACUUUUACUUUGAGGAAAUUAGAGUGUUCACGGCAGGCUAACGCCUUGAAUAUAUUAGCAUGGAAUAAUAAUAUAGGACCCUGGGUCUAUUUUGUUGGUUUCUAGAGCUAGGGUAAUGAUUAAUAGGGACAAUUGGGGGCAUUCGUAUUAACACGUCAGAGGUGGAAUUCUUGGAUUGUGUUACGACGAACUACUGCGAAAGCAUUUGCCAAGGAUGUUUUCA
rnacentral:rRNA from 1 species